CAGAGUUUCGCUCUUUUUGACCAAGCUGGAGUGCAAUGGCGUGAUCUCGGCUCGCUGCAAUCUCUGCCUUCCAGGUUCAAGUGAUUCUCCUGCCUCAGCCUUCUGAGUAGUUGGGAUUACAGGUGGCUUUUCUACAAUAUAAAGAUGGAAAUGGGAAGAAGAUGUUCAUUGCAAAUUAAGGAAGCUCUUCCACGAGUUCACGAAUGGAAAUAACAUCAAGAGUUUUUCAUCUUCUUAGUGUGCAAGGUA
rnacentral:lncRNA from 10 species